AUCUGAAUGUGGUUUUAGAAGAGGCUUCCUUGUCAACAUCUGUCUGCCUAUGGCCUUUAAGUACAGAAUAUUUUGUUGCACUGUUGCGCUCCGAUUUUUAUUCAUGGAAUGACUUCCUUUUUUUUUUUUUUUUCCAGUCACGUAAUGAUCGGGUAUCAGAAAAAGACGUCAGCAUCCUAGUCCCUCAAGGAACAUAUUAACUAUUUUGUGCUGUCCUCUUGGAUGAUAAGAUCCGGAGUCAUCGACUUCUCAUAAACACCUUUCACUGAUACAAUCCAAUUUUUAAGAAGUGCAAUUAUUUUGAUGGUUUUCAAUUUUGCCCAUUUCUCAAGGAUGGGUAAAGAAUUCAUACAAUUUCGAGGGUGGUAAAAGUCAUGUUUUUAAUUAUGUCUCUAUGAUUUCUCUUUACUUUUCAUCAAACCUCAGCAAUCAGAGCUCUGGCCUCUAGAAUUAAGCACCCUCAAGCUCUCCUAUUAAUAAAUUUAAUUUAGAUCUCCUAA
rnacentral:lncRNA from 1 species